rnacentral:rRNA from 1 species
UAGGGAAUUUUCCACAAUGGGCGAAAGCCUGAUGGAGCAACGCCGCGUGCAGGAUUAAGGCCUUCGGGUUGUAAACUGCUUUUAUCUGUGACGAUUAUGACGGUAGCAGAUGAAUAAGGAUCGGCUAACUCCGUGCCAGCAGCCGCGGUCAUACGGAGGAUCCAAGCGUUAUCCGGAAUUACUGGGCGUAAAGAGUUGCGUAGGCGGCAGAGUAAGCGGACAGUGAAAUUGUGUGGCUCAACCAUACACCCAUUGUCUGAACUGCUCAGCUAGAGGAUGAGAGAGGUACCUGGAAUUCCUAGUGUAGGAGUGAAAUCCGUAGAUAUUAGGAGGAACACCGAUGGCGUAGGCAGGGUACUGGCUCAUUCCUGACGCUCAGGCACGAAAGCGUGGGUAGCAAACGGGAUUAGAUACCCCCGUAGUCC